UAGUUUAUAAGAUUAGAGAAGACGAAAAAGGCAAAAAUUAGAGAAGCAAGAAUAAGCAGCGUCCAUGGAGAACGGUGAAAUUCCUGAAAACGCCAACGAAAAUUGCCCUGGUACUCAAUCAGAAUUAGCCGGAAAAUCAGAUGCUUGCCAAGGAUGCCCUAACCAAGAAGCUUGUGCUUCUGCCCCUAAAGGCCCUGACCCUGACUUGGUUGCAAUUGCUGAACGGAUGGCUACAGUGAAGCAUAAAAUAUUGAUUUUAUCAGGUAAAGGUGGAGUUGGCAAGAGUACAUUUUCUGCCCAACUCUCAUUUGCACUAGCGUCUAUGGACUUUCAGGUUGGUCUCUUGGACAUUGAUAUUUGUGGACCAAGCAUUCCUAAGAUGCUUGGCCUAGAAGGUCAAGACAUUCACCAGAGUAACCUUGGGUGGUCUCCUGUGUAUGUUGAGUCAAACCUUGGGGUUAUGUCAAUUGGGUUCAUGCUCCCUAACCCUGAUGAAGCUGUUAUAUGGAGGGGCCCCCGCAAGAAUGGGCUUAUAAAGCAAUUUCUAAAGGAUGUGUACUGGGGAGAGCUUGAUUUUCUAGUGGUUGAUGCCCCACCCGGGACCUCAGAUGAGCAUAUCUCAAUUGUCCAGUUCCUUCAGGCUACUGGAAUAGAUGGUGCAAUUAUUGUCACUACUCCACAACAGGUCUCUCUAAUUGAUGUGCGUAAAGAAGUGAGUUUCUGUAAGAAAGUUGGAGUGGAGGUCCUUGGGGUUGUCGAGAAUAUGAGUGGCUUGUGUCAACCAUUGACAGAUUUCAGGUUUAUGAAGUUGACUGAGACUGGUGAACAACAAGACGUCACAGAAAAGGUUUUGGAAUAUAUGAGAGAGAAAGCUCCAGAGAUGCUAGGCUUGAUUGCUUCUAGUGAGGUAUUUGAUAGCAGUGGUGGUGGUGCAGCACCAAUGUGCAGAGAGAUGGGUGUGCCUUUUCUUGGGAAGGUACCAUUGGAUCCACAGCUUUGCAAGGCAGCUGAAGAAGGGAGGUCCUGCUUUGCUGAUCAGAACUGUGGAGUAAGCGCUCCUGCACUGAAGAAUAUUAUUGAAAAAUUACUGGCGGCAAAACAGUGGAAUUAGAAAAUGCAGUCUGCAGCAGAUUAGCAAAAGAUGA
rnacentral:misc_RNA from 1 species